UAGAUUAAGCCCGCUGGUUUGGGUUUUUAGUUGUUAACUAAAGAUUUACGGGAUCAAGGCCCGUCGGUCUAG
rnacentral:tRNA from 1 species